UUAAAUUGAAGAGUUUGAUCAUGGCUCAGAUUGAACGCUGGCGGCAGGCCUAACACAUGCAAGUCGAACGGUAACAGGAAGCAGCUUAC
rnacentral:rRNA from 2 species